rnacentral:rRNA from 1 species
UUAAAGGAAUUGACGGGGAGCACCACAAGGGUGAAGCUUGCGGUUUAAUUGGAGUCAACGCCGGAAAUCUCACCGGGAGCGACAGCAGGUUGAAAGCCAGAUUAAAGGUCUUGCUAGACGAGCUGAGAGAGGUGCAUGGCCGUCGCCAGUUCGUGCCGUGAGGUGCCCUGUUAAGUCAGGCAACGAUCGAGACCCGCGUCCUCUGUUGCUACUAGCUUUGUGCUGGGCACACUGAGGGGACCGCCACUGAUAAAGUGGAGGAAGGAGCGGGCCACGGCAGGUCAGUAUGCCCCGAAUCUCCCGGGCCACACGCGAGCUGCAAUGGCAGGUACAAUGGGUUCCGACCUCGAAAGGGGAAGGUAAUCUCGAAAGCCUGCCGUAGUUGGGAUCGAGGGUUGUAACCCACCCUCGUGAACAUGGAAUCCCUAGUAAUCGCGUGUCACUAGCGCGCGGUGAAUACGUCCCUGCUCCUU